UUACGGCCACAUCACGUUGAAACACCGGUUGCCGUACGAUCAGCGAAGUUAAGCAACAUCGAAUCAGGUCAAUACCUAAAUGGGUGACCGCUUGGGGAUACCAGGUACUGUAAG